rnacentral:misc_RNA from 1 species
AAAUUUGGCCUCAAAUAAUUUAGUUUCAAAGGAAGCCCAGGCUCAAUACAGAAAAUGCUCCAUGGUAAGUAAAGAAAAAUAGUCCUAACAGAUCAGGCUCAUCGCCUGUUACAACAAACUCAACCCAACACCAAGAACCUGACCCAGUUGAAAUUCGAUCCAGGACUUAUCUUCACUGCAUGAGCUUGGAACCCUAGCCAUCUGCUAUAGCAACCAUUGCAGCAAACGACCCAACGCUGACCACCAAGCAAGCCUCGUACCUAUAGAUGAAGCACCAAAUCGACACCCAGGCGAGGCCAUAGAAGCAAACUCUUUCCAGAAUCAACGUCUCCGAGCUCAAUCUUAGCUUUACCAGGAAUAAAAUCUCAAAUUCUAGGGGCGGUAUGGUAAAGCUCUCUGGUAUCAUAACCAUUAAGCGACAAGAAGGCUAACGAGUAGCAAUGGAGGAGUCCCCAGAGGUGCCAUAGCCACUAAACUGUAACCCCUAAAACAGAGCCUUUUACUAAACAACAAACAGUGGCGACAGGAAAGCACCACCGCCGCUGCAUACACAACUCAAUCCAUCUCAGUUUCUUAAGGACCCUUUCAAGAUACCAUACCUGCAUGCAACACAAACAUACCCAACAAAAACAUAGAGAUAAAGACAGAGAGAAGAAUGUCAUAUAGCCAGAAGGGGCGGCACUACUCGGCUGAACUCUUGAACCCUCUCGAUAACCUUGUCCUUUUACCACUACAAUCGAAGCAACUUCCCUGCAAGCAAGAAAACACAACCCACAGAAGCACCAAACAAACUAACCUAGAACCACAACAGGCCAAAGAAAGCCCUCUCGGUGAACCACAAGCCCUGCCAUCAAAAU